GACGAACGCUGGCGGCGUGCCUAAUACAUGCAAGUAGAACGCUGAAGCGAGGAGCUUGCUCUUCUUGGAUGAGUCGCGCACGGGUGAGUAACGCGUAUGUAACCUGCCUUGUAGCGGGGGAUAACUAUUGGAAACGAUAGCUAAUACCGCAUAACAAUGGAUGACACAUGUCAUUUAUGUGAAAGGGGCAAUUGCUCCACUACAAGAUGGACCUUCGUUGUAUUAGCUAGUAGGUGAGGUAAUAGCUCACCUAGGCGAGGAUACAUAGCCGACCUGAGAGGGUGAGCGGCCACACUGGGAGGGAGACAGGGCCCAGUGGCCUACGGGAGGCAGCAGGAGGGAAUCGUGGGCAAGGGGGGCAACACUGACCGAGAAACGCCGCGGGAGUGAAGAAGGGUUUCGGGUCGGAAAGGUCGGUUGUAAGUCAAGAACGGGUGUGAGAGUGGAAAGUUCACACUGUGACGGUAGCUGACCAGAAAGGGACGGCUAACUACGUG
rnacentral:rRNA from 1 species